rnacentral:rRNA from 1 species
CCUACGGGAGGCAGCAGUAGGGAAUCUUCCGCAAUGGGCGAAAGCCUGACGGAGCGACGCCGCGUGAGCGAAGAAGGCCUUCGGGUCGUAAAGCUCUGUUGUGAGGGACGAAGGAGCGCCGUUUGAAGAAGGCGGCGCGGUGACGGUACCUCACGAGAAAGCCCCGGCUAACUACGUGCCAGCAGCCGCGGUAAU